rnacentral:rRNA from 1 species
GACGUAGGGCGCGAGCGUUGUCCGGAUUUAUUGGGCGUAAAGAGCUCGUAGGCGGCUUGUCGCGUCGACUGUGAAAUCCCGCGGCUCAACUGCGGGUCUGCAGUCGAUACGGGCAGGCUAGAGUUCGGUAGGGGGAGACUGGAAUUCCUGGUGUAGCGGUGAAAUGCGCAGAUAUCAGGAGGAACACCGAUGGCGAAGGCAGGUC